rnacentral:rRNA from 1 species
CGAGAUCGAUAGCGAACAAGUACCGUGAGGGAAAGUUGAAAANAACUUUGAAGAGAGAGUUCAAGAGUACAUGAAACCGUUCAGGGAUAAACCUAAGAAACCCAAAAGAUCGAACGGGGAGAUUCAUCGUCAGCGGCGCUGGCUUCGCGUCGGUGGACGAUGCUCCGCGGAGCCCUUGCGUAUCCUACCACGGACACGCUACCGUGCGUCGAUGUCCGGCGCUCGUCGUCGUGCACUUCUCCCCUAGUAGGACGUCGCGACCCGCUGGGUGUCGGUCUACGGCUCGGGUGCGGUGACUAUCGCGUCGCCGAUAAAACGGCACGCGGCAAACCCUCGGUCGCCCGGCCGGCUGCCCGGCGGUACACGCAUGGUAUAAGGCCGCACUCUUUCUCGGGGGUGUGCGUCGGGACCGUCGCAAGCGCGCGCCACGGUACUCGGAGGUUACGAACUUAGCGCCGUCCCCGGUUCUGGUCCACUGUUGGUCGGAACUCCUUCGACAGGCCUGCGAACGAUAUACCGGUCGGCGACGCUACUGCUUUGGGUACUCUUAGGACCCGUCUUGAAACAC